CCUACGGGAGGCAGCAGUGAGGAAUAUUGGUCAAUGGGCGGAAGCCUGAACCAGCCAAGUCGCGUGAGGGAUUAAGGCCCUGCGGGUCGUAAACCUCUUUUGCCGGGGAGCAGUGGUCCGGACGUGUCCGGGCCGGGAGAGUACCCGGAGAAAAAGCAUCGGCUAACUCCGUGCCAGCAGCCGCGGUAAUACGUAGGGGGCAAGCGUUAUCCGGAAUUACUGGGUGUAAAGGGAGAGUAGGUGGCAAGGUAAGCGAUAUGUGAAAGCCUUAAGCUUAACUUAAGGAUUGCAUAACGAACUAUCUAGCUAGAGUACAGUUGAGGUAGGCGGAAUUCGUGGUGUAGCGGUGAAAUGCUUAGAUAUCACGAAGAACUCCGAUUGCGAAGGCAGCUUACUAAACUGCCACUGACAUUGAUGCUCGAAAGUGUGGGUAUCAAACAGGAUUAGAUACCCCAGUAGUC
rnacentral:rRNA from 1 species